GAUGAACGCUGGCGGCGUGCCUAAUACAUGCAAGUCGAGCGAACAGACGAGGAGCUUGCUCCUCUGACGUUAGCGGCGGACGGGUGAGUAACACGUGGAUAACCUACCUAUAAGACUGGGAUAACUUCGGGAAACCGGAGCUAAUACCGGAUAAUAUAUUGAACCGCAUGGUUCAAUAGUGAAAGACGGUUUUGCUGUCACUUAUAGAUGGAUCCGCGCCGCAUUAGCUAGUUGGUAAGGUAACGGCUUACCAAGGCAACGAUGCGUAGCCGACCUGAGAGCGUGAUCGGCCACACUGGAACUGAGACACGGUCCAGACUCCUACGGGAGGCAGCAGUAGGGAAUCUUCCGCAAUGGGCGAAAGCCUGACGGAGCAACGCCGCGUGAGUGAUGAAGGUCUUCGGAUCGUAAAACUCUGUUAUUAGGGAAGAACAAAUGUGUAAGUACCUAUGCACGUCUUGACGGUACCUAAUCAGAAAGCCACGGCUAACUACGUG
rnacentral:rRNA from 1 species